UGGUGACGAUAGCAGAGAGGAUCCACCUGUUCCCAUCCCGAACACAGAAGUUAAGCUCUCUCACGCCGAAAGUACUUGGGCUUUGACCCCGGGAGAAUAGGUAGUUGCC
rnacentral:rRNA from 1 species